GUGUCAGCAGCCGCGGUAAUACCAGCACCCCGAGUGGUCGGGACGAUUAUUGGGCCUAAAGCAUCCGUAGCCGGUCCCACGAGUCCUCCGUUAAAUCCAACUGCUUAACAGAUGGGCCGCGGAGGAUACUAUGGGGCUAGGAGGCAGGAGAGGCAAGCGGUACUCAGUGGGUAGGGGUAAAAUCCGUUGAUCCACUGAAGACCACCAGUGGCGAAGGCGGCUUGCCAGAAUGCGCUCGACGGUGAGGGAUGAAAGCUGGGGGAGCAAACCGGAUUAGAUACCCGGGUAGUCCCAGCCGUAAACGAUGCAGACUCGGUGAUGGACUGGCCUUGCGCUAGUCCAGUGCCGCAGGGAAGCCGUUAAGUCUGCCGCCUGGGUAGUACGGUCGCAAGACUGAA
rnacentral:rRNA from 1 species